rnacentral:tRNA from 1 species
CGGGGUGUAGCUCAGCUUGGUUAGAGUACGCGUCUGGGGGGCGUGGGGUCGGAAGUUCAAAUCUUCUCACCCCGA